ACCUCUUCCUCUUCCACGCCCAACACCAGGUGGCUUCCUAUCUAAGCGAGACUUUGUGGUUUCUUCCUGAACCUUAUCGAUCACCUCAUCUGGAACCCGGAGAUACUUGAUGGUAUUCCCACGUAUGUAACACUCAGGCAUCCUCCAGAAUCUAUCUCCAUCCUUUGAGGUACAGAUCACCUCACGGAGAUGAAUGUUCAUCCACGUAUCACAAUUCACCAGAUGCCCG
rnacentral:misc_RNA from 1 species